rnacentral:ncRNA from 1 species
UGGUUGUAUUUUUAGAAAUUAUGCAGUAAAAUACAUAAGUCCACAUAUUCCGAAAUGAAUAUGUUUUACUCUUUUAAUUGCUGGAAACUCUCGUUAAACUAAUCAACUACAGCAUAACUGGAAACAGUAAGUGCGAAUGUUUGAAAAUGAUUAGGUAGAGACAAUCAGCAGCGAAGCCGCUAAGUUACUUAACUGUAAUAUGUGGAACGUUCAACGACUAGGGGGUUGCGCCCCGUAGGGUCAAGUGACUCGAAAUGGAGAGCACCUAAACAGAUAAUGCUGUAGGUGAAGAUAUAGUCUGGUCUUCUAGCGAGAGCUAGAG